GACGAACGCUGGCGGCGUGCUUAACACAUGCAAGUCGAACGGAAAGGCCCCUUUUUGGUUCCUCGAGUGGCUCACGGGUGCGUAACACGUGAGUAACCUUCCCUUGACUUCGUGAUAACUUCAGGAAACUGGGUCUAAUUCCUGCUAGGAAUCCUUUCUGCAUGGUUGGGGUUGGAAAGCUUCUGGGGUUUUGGGUGUACUCGCGCCUUAUCUGCUUGUUGGUGGGUUAGUGGCUUACCAAGGCUUUUACGGGUAGCCGGCCAGGGAGGGCGACGGGCCAAAAUGGGAAUGAGAAACGGCCCAGAAUGCUAAGGGAGGGAGAAGGGGGGAAAAAUGAAAAAAGGGGGGAAGCCGGAAGGAGCAAAGGCGCGGGCGGGAUGACGGGCUUCGGGUUGGAAAACGAUUUCAGCAGGGGAGAAGCUUGUGGUGACGGUACCUGCAGAAGAAGCACCGGCUAACUACGUG
rnacentral:rRNA from 1 species